UACAGAGGUCCCGAGCGUUGUUCGGAUUCAUUGGGCGUAAAGGGUGCGUAGGCGGCGGGGCAAGUCUGAUGUGAAAUCCUGGAGCUCAACUCCAGAACUGCCUUUGAUACUGGCGAUCUCGAGUCCGGGAGAGGUGAGUGGAACUGCGAGUGUAGAGGUGAAAUUCGUAGAUAUUCGCAAGAACACCAGUGGCGAAGGCGGCUCACUGGCCCGGUACUGACGCUGAGGUGCGAAAGCGUGGGGAGCAAACAGG
rnacentral:rRNA from 1 species